UUUGAGCGAUCAAAAGAACCAUAACUGAUUUAAUGAGCCAUUCGCAGUUUCACUGUACCGGCCGUGUGUACUUAGACUUGCAUGGCUUAAUCUUUGAGACAAGCAUAUGCUACUGGCAGGAUCAACCAGGUAGCCACUCACAACUUAGAUGUUUGUACCUGGGCGCUCGAAGCAAACAACAACCAGGGACCGAUCCUAUCCCGUCAGGGGAGGAGGCCCUGGCGCUAUCCACCAAGCGCCCAGCGGGAGGCCCUGAACUGCCCAUGGAUCAACCAGGUAGCCACUCACAACAUAGAUGUUUGUACCUGGGCACUCGAAGCAAACAACACCAGGGACCGAUCCUAUCCCGUCAGGGGAGGAGGCCCUGGCACUAUCCACCAAGCACCCAGCGGGAGGCCCUGAACUGCCCAUGGCCGGAGCCACAGGUGCCGGGCGCCGCUCGAGAGGUCUCUUGUCUAGCUGGAGCGCCUAUUCGGAACGCCAUCAACUGGGCAAAAGGAACCACAACCUCGGAUAGACCGCUUGGGUCAACCGGGUAGGUCCACGUUUAAAGACAGGGUUUGAGAAUACGUGUUUCUGGCGCCGAUGCGUUACGGGAUGACCAUCACCACAUGCUUCGCAGCCUGAGUGUGCCACUCCCCGCACCGGAACACCAAUGGAGGGCCACUUGGUCAGACAGUUCGGCUCGACCUCGCACGAACUUUGCGCGGCUGGAGCGUAUCGAAAUAGGGGGCAAACGUUUCCGAAAGGGGCUCCCCCGAUAGAGGCAAAUCCACUUGGGUCGGGAGGGAACAUCCAUCAGAACACCAGCCAAAGACCGGCCGAUAGAGUCCCUCCCAGGUGGAAGACGAAUGCAAAUCAGUCAGAGGAAAUUAAAUUGGCUGGACAACAGAGGAGAACCAUGGAGACGUACCGUGAAACAAGUAUGGGACUGGACUGGAGAGCUAGCCCUCACCGGGACUAAGCAACCACCAAUCGGUCGCAGAAGGGACGGGCACCUUCAUUGGACCAGAACCAUGGUCAUUGAUGAACCAAACCCACAAGGUAAUAGCUGGGAUAGAGCCACUGCCCAGGACAGAGCUCAAUAUCCUCCCAUCACCAAGCUGGGAAACGUGGAUCAAAAGUUAGGACAAAUCGGACACCGGCGGCAAAUGUCCAAAGUACCAUGGUUCCGAGGGGCUCACAUCCCUCAAAAGUGCCCAGUACUCAGUUUCUAUUCGGGCUGAUCAGUUUGACACCACCCCCGUC
ensembl:lncRNA